rnacentral:rRNA from 1 species
GAGGGCGACCGGCCACAUUGGGACUGAGACACGGCCCAACUCCUACGGGAGGCAGCAGUGGGGAAUAUUGCACAAUGGGGGAAACCCUGAUGCAGCGACGCCGCGUGAGCGAAGAAGUAUUUCGGUAUGUAAAGCUCUAUCAGCAGGGAAGAUAAUGACGGUACCUGACUAAGAAGCCCCGGCUAACUACGUGCCAGCCGCCG